rnacentral:rRNA from 1 species
GAGGACGACGCUGGCGGCGUGCUUAACACAUGCAAGUCGAACGGACGAGUGAGAUAAGUUUACUUAACUCACAAGUUAGUGGCGGACGGGUGAGUAACACGUGGAUAAUCUACCUGCAACACCGGGAUAACGCUGUGAAAACGGUGCUAAUACCGGAUACGUUCCCUUGUGCGCAUGUAUGAGGGAAGAAAGCUCAGGCGGUUGCAGAUGAGUCCGCGGCUGAUUAGCUAGUUGGUGAGGUAAAGGCUCACCAAGGCGAUGAUCAGUAGCCGGCCUGAGAGGGUGAACGGCCACACUGGGACUGAGACACGGCCCAGACUCCUGCGGGAGGCAGCAGUGGGGAAUCUUCCGCAAUGGGCGCAAGCCUGACGGAGCAACGCCGCGUGGGUGAAGAAGGCCUUCGGGUUGUAAAGCCCUGUCUUAUGGGAAGAAGUCAGUGACGGUACCAUAGGAGGAAGCCACGGCUAACUACGUG